CCUACGGGAGGCAGCAGUGGGGAAUAUUGCACAAUGGGGGAAACCCUGAUGCAGCGACGCCGCGUGAGUGAAGAAGUAUUUCGGUACGUAAAGCUCUAUCAGCAGGGAAGAAAAUGACGGUACCUGACUAAGAAGCCCCGGCUAAUUACGUGCCAGCAGCCGCGGUAAUACGUAGGGGGCAAGCGUUAUCCGGAUUUACUGGGGGUAAGGGAUCGUAGGCGGCAGCGCAAGUCUGGAGUGAAAUCCCAGGGCUUAACCAUGGAACUGCUUUGGAAACUAGGCAGCUAGAGUGCAGGAGAGGUAAGCGGAAUUCCUGGUGUAGCGGUGAAAUGCGUAGAUAUUAGGAGGAACACCAGUGGCGAAGGCGGCUUACUGGACUGUAACUGACGUUGAGGCUCGAAAGCGUGGGGAGCAAACAGGAUUAGAUACCCGGGUAGUC
rnacentral:rRNA from 1 species